rnacentral:rRNA from 1 species
UACGUAGGGUGCGAGCGUUGUCCGGAAUUAUUGGGCGUGAAGAGCUUGUAGGCGGUUUGUCGCGUCUGCUGUGAAAUCUCAAGGCUCAACCUUGAGCUUGCAGUGGGUACGGGCAGACUAGAGUGUGGUAGGGGAGGACUGGAAUUCCUGGUGUAGCGGUGAAAUGCGCAGAUAUCAGGAGGAACACCGAUGGCGAAGGCAGGUCUCUGGGCCACUACUGACGCUGAGAAGCGGAAAGCAUGGGGAGCGAACAGG